GCCGGGCGCGGUGGCGCACGCCUGUAGUCC
rnacentral:piRNA from 4 species